ACAGACAGGCUCAUUACAGACUGUAUAUACACAGACAGGAGCUCAUCUCUCAUUGGUCGGUGUCCUUUACUUUAAACACACGUCAGUUUCAUUCCAGAGAAUAAAACAGGUUUUAGAGGACAUUAGAGGACUGCAGUCAAACAGCUCAGGUGUCAGAGUUACAGGCACCUUUAGCACCUUUAGGACCCUGAAGAACCAACAGAACCCAACAUUAGAACCAACAGGACCAGAAGUACAGCACAGCCAUGGACUAAGUACGGUCUUCUGGAGGGUCGACAUAUUCAAACGGCCCCGGAGGCCCCUGGGGGCCCUGAUCCCCCUGUGGACCACAGACAGAACUGCAGUACUACUACUGCACAGUACUACACAGUACUAUACAAUACUGCAAUACUGCCACAGUACAGCAGAGGACUACUACUACAGAAAAAGCUCACAUUAAAGUGAAGUGCUCUGGGAAGCUUUAAAGUCUCCUGACUGUUGUUCUUCUGGCCACGCCCCUUCAGUGAUGUCACUGCAGGUGUUUUCCCGCAGCUGUCAGAGGUAAAACCCCUGCAGUGAUGUCACGGAGAGGGGCGUGGUCAGAAGAAAACAGUUUAU